CAGCAGAGUCUUCUGCGUGAACGAGGAUAGUCGACGCGAGUGAGGUGUGAAACAUAAUGCAGAAAAUGCACAAGUUAUGCCUUUCAAGGCCGUGAAUAAUUGUGGCCAAUCUUGGGCAAGAAGUCAGGCAUCCCAAGAGUGGAAUUAAAAAAAAAAAAAAAAAAAAGUCAGCUCCUGAGCUACACAGAGAAUACCUGUACACACACUUUCUUCUGAGCCUCUGUGACCACGGAAAACCACGGGGGAGAUGAUGUGAACAGAGAGCCUCUCUUUCUAGCCUCUGGCAACACGAGCUCGUGGGAAAUGAUCAGGAGCCCAUUUAGGUUAAAAUACGUAAAACCGACCACCUUAAAAGACCAGUCAGUAGCCUGGACGUAGUAUUCGUGUAUACCAUAAAGUACAGUUCAG
rnacentral:lncRNA from 1 species